CCGUUUGUUUUUCAAUGAAUUAGUAACAUUGUCACAGAGAGCACGGGCGGGCGGGCGCCGCCGCCACAGUGAAGUGCAGUCAUAGCUGUUGUAUUUUAUAUGCAAAUAAAAUAUAAAAUUGCAUGGAGGGCUUCAGUCAAAAUAAUGGAUUCGAAUGAAACAUACAUGCUGUGGCGGAUCCAGAGGGGGCGUAGAGGGCGUACACCCCCUUUUUGCUCGGGCUUUUUUUUUUUUUUUUUUUUUUUUGGUAAAAUGAUUAAUCAGACUAGACUUUGUGAACUUUGCAAUUUCCAGUGUACUCUAGAAUUUAAUUUUUAUGCGACAAUUCUUUACUUAUAAAGAUAUUUUUCGCUGGAAUUUAUUGAUUGUCAAAGUCAUGUCAUUCUCUAUAGUGGAGUUG
rnacentral:lncRNA from 1 species